rnacentral:rRNA from 1 species
UACGUAGGGUGCGAGCGUUAAUCGGAAUUACUGGGCGUAAAGCGUGCGCAGGCGGCUUGCCAAGUCAGAUGUGAAAGCCCCGGGCUCAACCCGGGAACUGCGUUUGAAACUGGCAGGCUAGAGUUUGGCAGAGGGGGGUGGAAUUCCACGUGUAGCAGUGAAAUGCGUAGAGAUGUGGAGGAACACCGAUGGCGAAGGCAGCCCCCUGGCCAAAACUGACGCUCAGGCACGAAAGCGUGGGGAGCAAACAGG